rnacentral:lncRNA from 1 species
GCAGGGUUCCCAUGGUGAUGGUCCGUGAGCUCGCUUCUGGAAGUGAAUAAUGACAUGGAAUGGAGGGGUCCGACUUUCUGCCUCAAAGCGUAUGAAGUACAGGGCCUAGGGAGCCUUUGAAAGGGCAUAGCAGCUACCACAAGACCAGGGAUGAGAUUCCAUGAAGAUUGAUGUAUAGUGGAGCUCCUGGGGAGGGGGAACAUCUCAGAGGAACAGCCUGUGGGAGCCAGCCCUGCAGUCUGUGGACUUGGCAGCCAAGACAGUGCGUUCUUCAAGCAAGGGAGCAAUUCCAUCCACUGAAAAUCCAGCAGUUAAGAGUCAGCUUUUCACUCACCACAUGUCAGUUCAAAGGGAAAAAUUUUAAAACAGCCUCACCAGGAACUGGGUCUCAGGUCCAGCCUCCACUCCAAAGAAUGAAGAAUUGUCUCCAGUCUCCACUUCCAAAGAAUGAAGAAUUGUCUCUCAUAGAAAGUGAUAGCUCCUUUUAAAGAUGCUUCUUUUGCAUCACUUCCUGUGUCUUCCCCUAACUUUACAUCUACCAAUCACAGUUGAAGCUUUGCUUUAAGACUGCCCAGGGACAGUUAGUUUAAAUCUGAUUCCUCACCCACUAUUGCACAUGUGGGUCACAGACCUCCCACUUAAUGAUUAAGUGAGAUGUUUACACUUUUGAUGAUUAGAUCUAAAAAUGGGCAGAUCUCCAUACUCAACUUUUAAGUAGGGUGUUUACACUUUUGGUGAUUAAAAUCUAAAAAUAGGCAGGGGUUACAAUUUUAAUCUUCACAAUCAGGGGAGAGUUAAUUUUAAUCUUCACA